GGUGGCCUGAUCCCUAUGCUCAGUAUACCGGAUAUAUUCCUGGCCACUAGCAAAACUUCUUUUACAUUUGGCUACAUGCACAAUUUGGGCAUCAAAUGCCAACAUCAACUUGUUUGUUUGAAGUGCUUUGUAUUCCGUUAGAAUUAUUUAAUGUUGCAUUUUUUUAAAUAAAUCUAAUUUAUUGAUGUAAAAGGUCUGAUCAAUUGUAUUUGCAUAUCCUCUGUUACGGCUCUGGCUGUGAUCCUGUUUCUGUGUAUCCUUUGUGUCCCCUCCCCCUCUGUCUGUCUGUGUGUGUGUCUCUGGAGGGUGUGGCUGCAAUCAACACCGGGUGACUACUCACACCUGCAGCUCAUCUGCUCAUCUGUCUCAAGCUAAAAGCCCUGGGCUCAACUCGACUCAUUGCCAGAUUAUUGAGUCUACUGAAGUGAUUCUCACCAGUGUCUUCUCCUCCAGUCUGCUCUCCUCUCAGACAACUCAACCAAUCACCCGCCUGCCUACAGAACCAGCUACUCCAUAGUCUCCUCCACGCCGUCAUUACCAGCCAGCCAGUCAGCCAUCCACCUUUCCCAAACCCUGCAAUAAAACCUCAAACCCUUCAA